ensembl:lncRNA
GCGGCAGUGAUGCCGUGGAACAGGAUGCGCAACCUGCUGAGUUUCCUGCGUUUGUGCUGCGCUGCUGGCCUGUGCUGAGCCCCUUCUGCUCUGCCCUCCCCUCUGGAGCCGCUGGGUGGAUUCAUAACGACCCGAAUUCGGUGAUGCUGCCAUGUCACACCGCUAGCUGAGCUCUGCAGUGUGUCUCAGCCUCCUGCUGUGAGACCUGAGAAGGCAGCCAGUGUCACCUUAGCUGUUACAUCGGGAGAGGACAGCGCGGAGUACCAACCUCAGCUCCUGCUGUAAAACCAGUGUGGAAAAUCAGUGUUGGAGCCACCUCAGUAGUAUUGGCAACAGGUCACUCACAAGUGCUUCAGCAGCAUGCAGAGCUCUGAGAGGCUGUAGAACAUGAGCACAGAGACCAGAGCAAUGGAACAGGCUGGAAUACUAUUUUCCUUGGAUUUGCAAGGAAUAGACUUCUGCAGCUUUCAUAAAGAUAAGGAGAACCUGCCCUGGUGCAGCAUUGGGAGCUCCAACAGACACAAGAAGGGCUCUCUGCCCAUAGCCCACCUGUCGCUCUCGCCUCUGCUGUGCCCUUCGUCCCUUGUAAAUCACUAGUCCCUCUGAGGCUGGGAAAAAGAUUCCUGGAAACAGACUUCUGCUGACUUUUGAUUAUUAUGAAACAGAGCAGUCCUGGAAAGAAACCGGGGUCUGAAAACACAUCAGGGCAAUGGGCAGCUCAAUAAAUACACUGUUGUUAUCUGUCAUUGUAGCCUUCACAAGCUCACUACUUGAGCUGUUGUAUACAUGGGAGGGGCUGCCAGACCUUUCCAGUGACAGCUUUCUGCAUUGUGAGAUGCUUUUACUUCUUGUGUCUUGAGGGUGUUCAGCUAAAGCAGGCUGGGAGUGACAUCAAGAUAGGCUCCUGCAUGGGUCUGUGAGGGGUCUGGAAGCAGUUUGUCUCAAGGAUUUUCCUCAUUUUGUUCUCUGCAAUGUACAGAAGAAUCAAGAAAAAACAAAACACCAAAAUGAUUUGGUUUUAGUUUUUAUUUGGCCAAAAGGUUAUUCUGUUAUGGGCUGUAGAGAGGAGAUUUAAACAACUGUCUCAGAUAAAAAUCACUGGAGCACAACUGAGGAUUUCCACUAUCUCUAAGGCAGUAAGCGUAUACCAACCACAAGCAGCCAGUGGUAUUUUGGUUCAUUUUAAGUGGGCCUAAGUAAGGACCACAGCAACUGCACAAACACUGAGCCCCAUACAGUGUCUUGCCACCUGUUUCUGUGAUUUCUUUGGCCUGUUGACUCAUACAUAUAUAUUUUUUUCUGGAAGCUAAGGAUGCUUGCCAUGCUGAAAAUGCCCUUGGUUUGGUUUUGAGCUUGGAUGAAGUUCCUCCAAAAUGCUUCCACGGUGAUUAAGUUUCUGACUUCUUUAUUUUUUACUUCAGUGUGGCAGGGAGUGAAAUGAGAGCCCCUCAUGCGCUAGGGAGAGAUGUGGGUUUGGUAGCUUCCUUCCUGCCGCCAUCCUGCUUGUGUCAGGCUGGAUGGGGAUUGUCCAGGAAAUCAUAGAAUCACAGAACAAUUUGAGGGGAUCUCAAGGCCCACCCAGCCCUAGCUCCCAGCCAUGGCCAGGGCUGCCCCCCAGCUCAGCUGCCCAGGGCUCCAUCCAACCUGACCUUGAGCACCUCCAGGGAUGUGACAUCACAGCUUCUCUGGGCAGCUGUGCCAGG